CGGGCCUCCCGGCUGCUCGGCUCGGGGCUGCGGUAUCCGGCCCCGACGCGAUCGCCUGCCGCCCUCGCUCCUACCUAGCAGCUUCUUCUGGAUGUUGCCCAUGGCGCUCGUGGCCGCUGUGGGGAGAGCACCAGGGAGAGACAAUCCUUGCUCCCACUGUUAGGAGUCCCAAGAGGACCAAGCUACACAACCACAGAAUAUGUGCAGAGGGUUCAGAUAAGAACCAUAUAGGCUCUCGGGUUGUCAGUUCUGUCUCUGUGAGUCCCGUGAGCCCAGCUUAGCUGGUUCUGUCACGGCCAUGCUUCCUGGACUCAGAAGGCAGAGACAGGCAGAUCUCUGAAUUCCAGGCCAGCCUGGCCUACAAAGAGAAACCCUGUCUUCAAAAGACAAAAGACAAAGACGUAACCUCUUAGCUGUUGCUCCUGAACUACGCCUGCCUGACUGUUAUCAUGCUCCCCACCAUGAUGGUCAUGGACCAACCCUCUGGAACUACUGUUCCAGUCUAUACAGCUGCUGUUGAUGUAAUGAUGAGACCUGGGUGUGGUGGCUGUGGCAGAGACCUACAUCCCAGCGUUCAGGGCGGUAAAGCAGGGCCAGCCGGUCUCAGAAAAUAAACUCUGCUAAAAUUAUCCAAAAGUGAACUUCGCAUGUGGAACCACGGUGGAGCCCCGGUGAGCACAUGGCCGGGGCCGGAAACUGAGUACUUUGGUGAUUUGUGCCAGAUUUCUUUUGUUUCAAUUUAUAAUUUAAUCAUCAUUUAACACUAACAGUGUACCUGUCUAGUCCUUUGGUCCAUUAUAGGAGGUUAUUUUGUGUAGUCAGACGGUGUCUUGAGAAAAAAAAUAGGCUUAACAAUUCUGAAAUGUGAGAAAUGGCGUAUCAGAUGUAUUUUAAUAUGUUAUCACAGCAAACAAGCAGAAAUUAAGCAAAGUUCUCUUGUUCUAUAACUCAGUUUUAGCCUUAGAAUGAGCCAUGAAAACCUAAAGGAUAAACCAUUUUUUAAAAUCUUUAACCAAACUUCAUUAUUAUUCAGGUCUCUAAACUCCCACGAAGCAGCAGUCAUGAGAGAAGACUGAUGUUUGUAAUGUUUAAUUUUAGAAUAUUUGAGUUAUCGGGGAGUUGUGAGGUUAGUGCAGAUCUCCUCUGACCCCCCAUGAAGCCUCCUACAACGUGACCGUCUUACCAUCUCUUGAUUGGCUACCAUAGUCAAAGAAUAAAGGACUUGAUUCCAAAUCAGAUUGAUUAAAAAUGACGUGCCCAAGGUCGUGGCUCACAUACAGAAUCCCGAGACUGCCCGAACCAUGGGAG